AAAUAGAUGUUAUAUAUAAAGGAAUUGUUUACUGAUCUAUAAAAGAACAGUAGAGUAAAUGCAACAGCCAAAUGUGGCCAUGUUGAGCAAUCUGAUUGGUCAGAAAUUUAGUCACGUGGUUAAAUAGUCAAACAUGGCGGCCACCAGACCCGGAAACCCAGACCGAGGGUGGAAUGACCCGCCCAUGUUUAUGUACGAUGCU